rnacentral:rRNA from 1 species
CCUACGGGUGGCUGCAGUGGGGAAUAUUGCACAAUGGGCGCAAGCCUGAUGCAGCCAUGCCGCGUGUGUGAAGAAGGCCUUCGGGUUGUAAAGCACUUUCAGCGGGGAGGAAGGCGGUGAGGUUAAUAACCUCAUUGAUUGACGUUACCCGCAGAAGAAGCACCGGCUAACUCCGUGCCAGCAGCCGCGGUAAUACGGAGGGUGCAAGCGUUAAUCGGAAUUACUGGGCGUAAAGCGCACGCAGGCGGUCUGUCAAGUCGGAUGUGAAAUCCCCGGGCUCAACCUGGGAACUGCAUUCGAAACUGGCAGGCUAGAGUCUUGUAGAGGGGGGUAGAAUUCCAGGUGUAGCGGUGAAAUGCGUAGAGAUCUGGAGGAAUACCGGUGGCGAAGGCGGCCCCCUGGACAAAGACUGACGCUCAGGUGCGAAAGCGUGGGGAGCAAACAGGAUUAGAUACCCGAGUAGUC